rnacentral:lncRNA from 1 species
GUUCAAAAUCUGUAUUCUUUCUUUCGCCUACUUUCUCUCAAAACAAUUCUAUAUUGUUUUUCUUAUAUAUUUUAUUUAUACAUAUAAUAAUAAGGCUCUACCUUGUUUUGAGUAUUUUAAACUCCCAAUCACCGCUACCCAUUUUCCGAUUGAUCUGAGCCUCAGGGCUCUGCCCGACUAAGUUGUUGGGAUUUGGUCCCGGGACUUCGGGACAAGGUUGAUUUAGGGGUACUAUACUUACCACAAGUGCAAUAUAUAUUUUUAAUAGCCCAAAAGUUAUACCCAAAAUUUAUACCAGGAAAUUUUCUAGUUGAAACCUAAAGUUACAAAGUGGGUCCAUUCUCUUUUCUCACUAUUUUAUUCUCUUUUUGUAAUUUACCCAAAACUAUUAUUUAUUAUUCUAUUCUCAUCAAAAGUCAUAUCUACUAUUUUAUUUACUCAAUAGGAAACCCUAAUUGAGACACCCAAGUAAUUCUACACAAUCCCUAAAAUUUUCAGAAUAAACAGAAGCAGGUUCAGGGCCCCUAAAACUCAGGGGGGUAUUUCCUACUCAACGAUUAUCCAAAUAAAAAGCUGUCUAAAUUGAAUUUCGAGAUUCCAUCGACUCAUCAAGGCUAGUCCCACACGCGGCAAGCCUAUAGUAAUUAGGUGUCCGUUACGGACCGUAAGGGAUAAUACUUACGGUCCGUAAGCAUGUCCAAAUUCGUGUAUAAAUAGCAGACUUUGGGACUGGAAAUUGGGCGAUAGAACGACGUUCAAAUUCAUUUCCUACGUCGAGUUAUUUGCUGUUCACUUCACAACACACACAAAAUCAAUAAUUAGUAGAGAGGGGUGCUGCUACGAUACAGGGUAUUAACUCGAUCGCUAUUACGAUUCAUUUUCCGACCGAUCAAUAUAUCCAAUGGAUGUUUAAGUGCCACCCACAUUAGGGUUAUACUUUGUCGUUCGUCGUUAAUUCGAUGGAUGUUUAAGUAUCGUACUUUGUCGUUCGUCGUUAAAUCGAUGGAUGUUUAAGUAUCGUACUUUGUCGUUCGUCGUUAAAUCGAUGGAUGUUUAAGUAUCGCACUUUGUCGUUCGUUGUGAGAAUUUGAUCUUGUGAGUUAUCGUAAUUGUUGUAUUAAGUUACCUACCUAGUUCGUAUGCACUAGGUUACAAGGCUAAAUCAAUAGGCUAAGCUCUGCCUGUGUAAAUCUGCAAUAUAUCAAGGCUUAUCUGUAGACUAAACUUUGGCCGUAUGAAUCUGCAUGAUUAUAAUGUAAUUAUAGUAGAUUGGAGUAAGGAUUGGAUCCGGCACUAAAAGACUUCAAGAAGUGACUUAUUUUAUUAAUUAAAUCAAAUUAAGAAAUAUUGUUUUUAAAAAGCUACCUUUGUAACAAUGGAAUUUAUUCCAUCUAUUUAAAUAAAAUCCGGUGU